AUGAAAGGUGCCAUACCCCAACAUCUCAUCUGUCACAGACAAAUAUGCUAUAUUGCUGCCGCAUCAUUCAUGUCAUGCCCAUGAUCUAUUUUUCGUCCUUUCCAUCGAAUAUAUCGAAAAUUAUUAGGCAAUUUAUCGACCGCCAUGUAUCAGCAUCUGGAGUCAACAACUAUUAAGAUGAUAAAGACAACCCAUUAAAGAGGAUCUGACGAAGUUAAGUUUCCUCACACUUUGAGCUAUCACACAUUCUACAUACUGGUUGACCUACGACAGGUACGAGUUGAGGUUAAAGAGUAACCGAUGGUGCACAUAUGACAGGCAUAUUCUCCGACAAGAUAGUUUGGUCCUAGGUGGUCAGAAGCCGGCCUGUCGGGAGCUCGUCGCCCCACCUCUCAUAAAAAGUCUUGAAUACUUCGGAGCAACUAGUCCAAGCUUCGUAGAUCCGAGUUUAAUCACCUUUACAAUCAAACAGCUUUGGUUUCUUGACAAGAUGAAAACGAGAGAUAAAAAGAAAAAACGAAAAUAUUACCAAAUUUCAGAUAUUUUCUUCUCACAU